GAGUUUGAUCCUGGCUCAGGAUGAACGCUGGCGGCGUGCUUAACACAUGCAAGUCGAACGGAGUGCCUUUGAAAGAGGAUUCGUCCAAUUGAUAAGGUUACUUAGUGGCGGACGGGUGAGUAACGCGUGAGGAACCUGCCUUGGAGUGGGGAAUAACACAGUGAAAAUUGUGCUAAUACCGCAUAAUGCAGUUGGGCCGCAUGGCUCUGACUGCCAAAGUUUACGCUCUGAGAUGGCCUCGCGUCUGAUUAGCUAGUAGGCGGGGUAACGGCCCACCUAGGCGACGAUCAGUAGCCGGACUGAGAGGUUGACCGGCCACAUUGGGACUGAGACACGGCCCAGACUCCUACGGGAGGCAGCAGUGGGGGAAUA
rnacentral:rRNA from 1 species